rnacentral:rRNA from 2 species
UACGUAGGGUGCGAGCGUUAAUCGGAAUUACUGGGCGUAAAGCGUGCGCAGGCGGUUGUGUAAGUCAGAUGUGAAAUCCCCGGGCUCAACCUGGGAACUGCAUUUGAGACUGCACGGCUAGAGUGUAGCAGAGGGGGGUAGAAUUCCACGUGUAGCAGUGAAAUGCGUAGAGAUGUGGAGGAAUACCGAUGGCGAAGGCAGCCCCCUGGGUUACUACUGACGCUCAUGCACGAAAGCGUGGGGAGCAAACAGG